GAGUUCACUUGAAAGUGUCAUCCAUAAUAAAGUGGUAUAACUUAUCAAGAUCUACAACUUUUAUUUUGGUCAUUCUUCAUUCGACAAAGUGAUUUUUAACAUUAUUCACAUAAUGUACAAAUUUCCUAUGUAGUUUCAUAAACUAUAAAAGAGAUAUGUAAAUUUAUGAAAUUGUUACUAUCACUUUGUCGGAUGAAGAAAUGAUUAAAGUAAAAGUUAUAGAACUUGAUGAGUUAUACAACUUUAUUGUUGAUGACUUUUUUAGCUGAAAUC
rnacentral:pre_miRNA from 1 species